rnacentral:rRNA from 1 species
GGCGACCGGCGCACGGGUGAGUAACGCGUAUGCAACUUACCUAUCAGAGGGGGAUAACCCGGCGAAAGUCGGACUAAUACCGCAUGAAGCAGGGGCCCCGCAUGGGGAUAUUUGCUAAAGAUUCAUCGCUGAUAGAUAGGCAUGCGUUCCAUUAGGCAGUUGGCGGGGUAACGGCCCACCAAACCGACGAUGGAUAGGGGUUCUGAGAGGAAGGUCCCCCACAUUGGUACUGAGACACGGACCAAACUCCUACGGGAGGCAGCAGUGAGGAAUAUUGGUCAAUGGGCGUAAGCCUGAACCAGCCAAGUCGCGUGAGGGAUGAAGGUUCUAUGGAUCGUAAACCUCUUUUAUAAGGGAAUAAAGUGCGGGACGUGUCCCGUUUUGUAUGUACCUUAUGAAUAAGGAUCGGCUAACUCCGUGCCAGCAGCCGCGGUAAUACGGAGGAUCCGAGCGUACGGAUUUAUUGGGUUUAAGGGUGCGUAGGCGGCCUUUUAAGUCAGCGGUGAAAGUCUGUGGCUCAACCAUAGAAUUGCCGUUGAAACUGGGGGGCUUGAGUAUGUUUGAGGCAGGCGGAAUGCGUGGUGUAGCGGUGAAAUGCUUAGAUAUCACGCAGAACCCCGAUUGCGAAGGCAGCCUGCCAAGCCAUGACUGACGCUGAUGCACGAAAGCGUGGGGAUCAAACAGGAUUAGAUACCCUGGUAGUCCACGCAGUAAACGAUGAUCACUAGCUGUUUGCGAUACACUGUAAGCGGCACAGCGAAAGCGUUAAGUGAUCCACCUGGGGAGUACGCCGGCAACGGUGAAACUCAAAGGAAUUGACGGGGGCCCGCACAAGCGGAGGAACAUGUGGUUUAAUUCGAUGAUACGCGAGGAACCUUACCCGGGUUUGAACGCAUUCGGACCGAGGUGGAAACACCUUUUCUAGCAAUAGCCGUUUGCGAGGUGCUGCAUGGUUGUCGUCAGCUCGUGCCGUGAGGUGUCGGCUUAAGUGCCAUAACGAGCGCAACCCUUGCCACUAGUUACUAACAGGUAAAGCUGAGGACUCUGGUGGGACUGCCAGCGUAAGCUGCGAGGAAGGCGGGGAUGACGUCAAAUCAGCACGGCCCUUACAUCCGGGGCGACACACGUGUUACAAUGGCGUGGACAAAGGGAUGCCACCUGGCGACAGGGAGCGAAUCCCCAAACCACGUCUCAGUUCGGAUCGGAGUCUGCAACCCGACUCCGUGAAGCUGGAUUCGCUAGUAAUCGCGCAUCAGCCAUGGCGCGGUGAAUACGUUCCCGGGCCUUGUACACACCGCCCGUCAAGCCAUGGGAGCCGGGGGUACCUGAAGUCCGUAACCGCGAGGAUCGGCCUAGGGUAAAACUGGUGACUGGGGCUAAGUCGUAACAAG